ACUUUAGUUCCUUCUGUCAUGAAUCAGUUAAAAGUUUUGUUAUUUUCAAACAAAGAGCACAUUCCUGCACAAGGUCGGAACUGCGAAGUCAAAAAUGACGUGACCAGGAGUGGCGAUCUUACUUUAGAAAUGCUGCCUCUUUCUAGAUGCCGUCCCUUGAGAGGACUUCUGGGGAGACUGGUUUUUUAAAACUCUCACGUCCCCUCGCCCCUCCAGCCCGGGGGCAGCUCCUCGUUGAAGGGCUACAGCUCCGAGCGGCCGAGGCGCGCACACGGACGGGGCUUCUCCGCGCGGCGGCGGCGAGGUUGGCGGGAGCCCGCGACCUGUCGGCCAGGCUGACGCGCACGGUCGCUGCAGCCGACCGCGUUACCAGGUGUGGCUGCCGCUCAGAGCAAGCACCCGACUGCAGUCCCGUACUGGCAAGUGCGACACGAGGAGCCCUGCGAACCUGACCCAGCCCCGGGCGCGCGAGGGGCGGCGAUAAUGAAGAUGCAGCUGUGAAAAACAGACAAACUAGCCUUUACCUGGAGGAGGGAAAGACAAGCCAUAAACAAGAAAUCUCUAUGAAGAAACUUUGGGUCUUCUGUGCUUGCUGUUUUCCCUCCAGGACCUAGUAUGAUGCCUGGAACAUAGGAGUGAACCGCCGUGUCAUGGUCCAGCCCGAAUGGAUCCCAGCCGAAGUCGUUCUCACCCUCCCGUAAUAAGGUUCCCAUAUGUCUGAAGUUUCAUUGACUGAAACACUCAGCCUUGGACAGGAACUUGCACCGCAGCAAACAGUGAAGCUGGUUUUGCACCCCCUACAGCCUGACUCCAGAGCCUGCCUCUCACCUGCCACAGAAAACCAAGAGCAAAGCCUGGAGCAAAUGGAGGAAGAAAAACAAUUAGAGGAGAAAGGUGAAACUUACAAAACCCAGAAACACGCCAGUGCCAUUUCUAACAGUGAGCAGACUUAGAUGACAAAGCCGUGAGCAAUUAAAAAGCAAAGAAGCACUUACCUACUCCACCCAUCAGAAAGAAAUCAAUGAGGAAGGCCACAAAGCAGCGUCCAGGUGCCAUGGCUGCAAGUGUGACUGGUCCAGCAGCCUGUGUUCCCCUCCGUGAGACGCAAGUGUGACUGGUCCGGCAGCCUGUGUUCCCCUCCGUGAGACGCAAGUGUGACUGGUCCGGCAGCCUGUGUUCCCCUCCGUGAGACGCAGCUCCGAGCGGAAGAGGAAACGCAGAAUCCUCAUGCUGAACCUCCCCUCUUGGGCUUAACCAUGGUUCCUGGAAGAACUUCAAUUUCAUUUUGUGAAGACAUGUAUUCUUAUUCUAGGGGAAUUAUAAAAGCUUAAUAAGAAUCACUUCAAAAACACUUCUUUAAUCUUUACAAGCCCAGAGGGUCAGUGCUGUUAUCCUGAUAUUAUGGAUGAAGAAACUGAGACAUCGAGAGGAUCAAAGUACCUGGCCACACUCUACAGCAGAGUGUAUUUCCAGCCUCACCUAAGGCUGUUUCUGGACAUGGCUGCUGGAUUGCCAAAGUUAAAGUGUGACAUACGUUCCAAGACCAAGAGGAAGGGUUUUUUUAAUCCAGGACGCCUGGUGACAUCAGACUACAGUGGGAAAAGGCUCGUUUUUGAAGAUUUGGACACAAGAGAUACACAGAGAAGAAUGCCACGUGACAAGAGAAGCAGAGAUUGGAAAUGAUGCAGCUAUGAGUCAAGGAAUUCCAAGAAUGGUCAGGAACUCCCAAAAGCUAGGAAGAGACAAAGAGGGCUCCUCUCCUAGAGCCUUCAGAGAGAUCUGGCCCUGCCUCUUAACUGUGGGGGAGUACACUUCUGCUGUUUUAUACCACCCAAGUUUGUAGUCACUUAUUAUGGCAGCCCUAGAAACCAAAAUAGUAAAGGUGGAUCCCUAUCUUACUUCUUAUAUGAAAAAAAAAAUCUAGAUGGAUAGAAGAAUUCAGUGUAGAAAUGAAAUAAACAAUGACACCCAAACAAAUAAGAAAACAUGGGUGAAAAUUUCUAUCUUCUUGGGAAAGGGUUUUUUAAGAUUAAAAGGAAAAGAUGAAUAAAUCUGACUUCAAAAGCAUUUUAAACAUCUGUGCUGAGAGACUUAGUCAAAUGGCAAGAAAUUAUACAAUAAAUGUAUAACUCAUGGCAGACAAAUCUGUAAAAAAGCACAUCAACAGCCCAGCAGGAAAUAGAGGACAAAAUUAGUCAGGUCAUAAGUAUAAAUACCUAAUAUAUUAAGUAAGAUCAAUUUUACUGAUUACUAAUGAAAUACAAAUGAAAAUAAAAAUGGUUUACCUGUAGAACUGAUGGAAAUUAAAAAGCCUUGUAUCAGAAUUAGCUAGGCUAAAAAACAUACUUGGCAGUAAUAACUAUUAUUAGAAUUUUGGAGAGCAGCAACAUGGCUAUUUCAAUUACUUUCAUAUUUUUCCAUCCUAAUUGAGUACACUUUUCAUUUGUCUUGUGGAUUUUUUAUAUGGAUGUCUUACAAUUUUCCCACAAGAGCUUAAAUUAAGUAAAGAAUAUGUGUUUUUAUGGAAUGUGUAUAUACUCCUGUAUCAGUUAAAAAAGCAAUUUCCAAGACAUUGUCUUAUUUCACUAUUUUCUGCUCACUAAUAAAAGAACAUCUCAUUUUAGUUUGCACUUUUAAAUGAGGAGUUAUUCUUCCAUGGCUUAUUUCUAUGGUUAAUUUACUCAUGUAGUUGACUGAAAAUCAUCUUUCAUCAAUUAAUUCAUGUAUCUUAAAAUUCCAAGCCUCUUAGUAAUUCCGAACUCCUUCUGUAGUAUGGAUAUUAGCUCUUGGCUUCUUGCUGGAACUUUCUCUUUACAUGCUUCUCAGGGCUCCCUUACCCACACUCAUGGUUUUCACCAUCUUUAUGCCAGAAGACUCCUUAGUUGUUAUAUUCUACAGAUAAAUCUGCUUUUUUCCCCAAACAACUUAGACCAGUAUUCUACACACUGGGUGCUAAAUAUUAAAAUAUAGACAUGAAAGGACCAUUUUUAAAGAUUAGAUAAUUUU